AUCUAUGGCCAUGCCAUCCUGAACAAGCCCGAUGUCUGAUCUCGGAAGCUAAGCAGGGUUUGGCCUGGUUAUUACUUGGAUGGGAAACCACCUAGGAAGACCAGGUGCUGUAAGCA
rnacentral:rRNA from 1 species